rnacentral:rRNA from 1 species
CACGAACCGUACGAACGUUAUUCGGAAUCACUGGGCUUAAAGCGUGCGUAGGCGGCUUAGCAAGUUGAGUGUGAAAUCCCUCGGCCCAACCGAGGAACUGCGCCCAAAACUGCUAGGCUCGAGGGAGGUAGAGGUGAGCGGAACUAAUGGUGGAGCGGUGAAAUGCGUUGAUAUCAUAGGGAACACCGGUGGCGAAAGCGCAUCACUGGAUCUUUUCUGACGCUGAGGCACGAAAGCUAGGGUAGCGAACGGG